UAGAAUAAACCAUUUCUGGGGCAGCCUAUGUUUGGCAAUCAAUGCGAUAUUUUGAACACUCAGAAUGAAAGCUUCCACUUGUGGCGCGAUUUGACGCGGCGCGUUGAUCCGGUGUCUGUUCAAAAAGGCCGCUGUUCCGAUCCACGCCUGACGAACGCAAACGCCCACCGCGCUGAUUUCCUGCGUCGCGUCUCCCUGCCUGGAAUUCACGUCACUUCUCCGUGAAGCGUCCCGAUCAAUGAGGUUCUGCGCUGCGUCGCGCUGCUGCCAGCGACGCUUCCAGGAAGGAGUUAACCAUCGCGCUGCCGCAAUGUAGCGCUCGCUCGCGCGUUUACAAACAAGGACACGGAGAAGUUGAAGCGAGGCCAAUGGAUGCGCGAGCGCGUUGAAAUCGCCUGCGCGUCGCGAGGGGAACAGUAUCAUCAUCCAGGCGCUUUAUUUCGCGGAAGAACAAGGGAGAGGAAAGUGGAAACAGAAGAACUUCCUGAAUUACAACGAGACAUGUCCGAGUCCCCCUCGCAGGUCAUUAUUAAGCAGGAGAGGAGUGUUUUCAGUCCGUCUGCGAGCCCGUUGCCAAAUUCCACUUCCUCCCCCGGCCAUGCCCCGCCCUCUUCAGCUAACGCCAGGACAGAAGAGGAACCGAGCAGACUGCCUGCACACCUGCGCAUGCAGCCGGUGUUCUGGAGCCGGGAGGAUGUGUGUCAGUGGCUGCGCUGGGCUGAGAGAGAGUUCGCUCUGCGGCCGAUAUCCAGCGCCAGCUUCCAGAUGAACGGGAAAGCCCUGCUUCUGCUCACCAAAGAGGACUUCAGAUACCGCUCUCCGCACUCAGGUGAUGUUCUGUACGAGCUCCUGCAGCACAUCCUGAAGCAGAGGAAGCCUUCCCCGUUCUUCCCCAUCGGCUCCUUCCUCUCGCUGAACGACGCGCCGCUGCAGACGCACAAACACGAAGAAACGGUACGCCGGCCGCCGCGCGCCACAGACGCUCUUCCUCUGCAUCCGCCGACCAUCGAGCUGCGCCAUCGCUCGCCCCAUCAUCCGCCCGCCCCGCUGCGCUCGGCCGAGGACCCCCAGCAGGUGUCCGCACAGCUGCCCGACAGCAACCACCACCCACCGGACGACAUCUAUCCGCUGUCCAUGUCUCCGUCCGCGGCUAACGGUCACUGCGCUCUUCAGGAGGAGCCUCCGCCGCCGCGCGUCAUCCAGCUCAUGCCCAGCGCCAUCAUGCACCCGCUGCUGAGCCCAGACUUCAGGAGGACGCCUCAGGAGAACGGCCGCGAGGUCAAAGGUCAUGCACACUUCGCCCAUCAGACGCCCCUCCAGCUCCCCCUGCAGGACGAGCGUCACUACCGCAAUCACAUCAUCAUGACCGUCUCUCCUCCAGCGGAGCAGGCCACGCCCAUCGGCCGCAUCGCAGGCUGUUGUGGGAUUACGUCUAUCAGCUUCUGUCGGACAGUCGCUACGAAAACUACAUCCGCUGGGAGGACCGCGAGACCAAAGUCUUCCGCAUCAUGGACCCCAACGGUUUGGCCCGACUGUGGGGGAACCAUAAGAACAGAACCAACAUGACGUAUGAGAAGAUGUCGCGAGCGCUGAGACACUACUACAAACUCAACAUCAUCAGGAAGGAGCCGGGACAGAGACUGCUCUUCAGGUUCAUGAAGACCCCAGACGAGAUCAUGAGCGGGCAGACGGAGCGUCUGGAGCACCUGGAGUCAGACACAGACGAUCAGAUCUACGUGAAGGAGGAGUGCUGAGCCGAGACGCUCCACACCAUGAACUUCUGAAGCCACAGAUGCCUCGGUCCGUCUGACCUUUGACCUCUGUGUGACCUCCAGAUCACGGAGGAUCUGCACUGCACUGCUCUCAGUCUGUCAAAGCCCUCCUACUCGCUGUUUUUAUAGUCUUCUACUUCAGCAAACUUCACGGUGACAAUCAUUUUAAUGACAAACGAUGCUCUUUUACAAAUCAGAUCUAGAAAUUGUUGGUGCAGCUUUUUUUCUCUUUGGUAAGUAUAUUGUACGAAGAUCUGUUGCAAUUUGUAUAAACAUGGGAUGACUAGAAUGCUGGUGAAAAUGUGAUUCAAUUCUACAAUAAAUUUUACUGAGUGACACAGGUGUGUUUACAGAA